AAGGUCGUCAUUUAUGUCUUCUACAGCCUCCUAAUUUACAUUGUAUUCACAUGAACAUUUUGAACACUGAAUAAAGUUGAUCCAUUUUAUCCUAAAAAGAUAGUAGAAGCACUCAAGUGAACUCUUGUUUCAGGGUUUAAGGCCAUCUCCAACGCUUGGGCGCUUAAAAUCUUGAGCAAAUCAAUAUGCAUAAAGCGUUUGGCGCUAGCAGAUGCAUUUUGUUUAUGUUUUUUAAGUGCCUGACUCCCCCUUAUGUGUCAAUGCAAGAAAAAAUAGCCGGGAAAGAAGCAAAAAUGCCAAACAGUCGGGAUUUAAUUCCUAGCACCCAGAUUGUAUGUCCUAACACGCCGUUCCUUGGUUAUUGGUUGGCCAUGCUCACACGUGUACACUAUUGGGCUGUCCCAAUGUCCGCAUUUGGGAAGCUUCUGGGUUAGGAUUUUUUCUAUGUUCUAUGCCGGGAUUUUUCUACUUUUUUAUGUUAAUUUUUCCUCUUUUUUAUUUUUCCAUCUUUCAUUAUCUCCUUUUGUGUUUUUCAUAUUUUUGAAAUCCACGACCAUUUUCAAAUUUAAAACUUUGUAAGCUCGUAACAUCUUCUCCAAAUCGUGAACAAAAUUCAAAUCCGGUGCUAAGGCGCUGACUAGCGGGAGCAACUAACUGGAGUUUACCCCUGCGAGGGACAUCUAUGGGUUACUUUUGGCGUCAGUUCACUAGCGGGAGCACAUAUUUUCUUGUGGAAAACACACUAAAUAUACAUAAUGGAUAGUGAAUUGCUUGGUAGUAAUUCAGCAACUAACCUUAGGGGUGGAUGAAUGAGUUGGCGAGAGAGGAGGAAUACCACUGGCUGGGGCUCGCCGUCGGAAUGCUAGCCGAUCAUUGUGAUGCCCAUUAACACAUUUUUAUUUGUCAUAAAUAUAAUCUAAAUGUUAAUAAAAUUUCAUAUUUUCUGUGAAAAAUUUCUUAAUAAUAGAGAAUAUAUAGGACGAUAGUUUGGGACACCUAGGUGCCCAGGCACCUUGCCUAUCCGUCGUUGGAUCGUGUUCAGCGACUGAUUUGGCAACAAAUGUAAAUGCCUUAAUUACUAGUUAAUUUGGCAGGCUUUAAUUCUUUAACCAUCCCAUGCAUGCAUGUCACCUCAUAGAAAAGGAAGGAGAUUAAAAUACCAUACUGAAUAAAAAUUAGCACUUAUUGUUUCGUAGAAUAAGUCACUAGGUAUGUAAAUACUCGUGUAUUUUACGUAAUUUCAGUAGUAGGCAUAGACAUACACACCACAUAAUUGGGUAUAUACAUACUCGUACAUAUACUUUUUUGCAUGGUAACCACAUACAUACAUAAUUUCGUUACUUGGUAUAUGCAUACCCACGUAUGUAAAUAAAUUUUUUAGUAGGUAUAUGCAUACCCACGUAUGUAUAUAAUUUUGUUAGUAGGUAUAUG
rnacentral:lncRNA from 1 species